GACGAACGCUGGCGGCGUGCCUAAUACAUGCAAGUCGAGCGAAGUUUUUCUGGUGCUUGCACCGGAAAAACUUAGCGGCGAACGGGUGAGUAACACGUAAAGAACCUGCCUUAUAGACUGGGACAACUAUUGGAAACGAUAGCUAAUACCGGAUAACAGCAUUAACUGCAUGGUUGAUGUUUGAAAGUUGGUUUUGCUAACACUAUGAGAUGGCUUUGCGGUGCAUUAGCUAGUUGGUGGGGUAAAGACCUACCAAGGCGACGAUGCAUAGCCGACCUGAGAGGGUGAUCGGCCACACUGGGACUGAGACACGGCCCAGACUCCUACGGGAGGCAGCAGUAGGGAAUCUUCCGCAAUGGGCGAAAGCCUGACGGAGCAACGCCGCGUGAGUGAAGAAGGAUUUCGGUUCGUAAAGCUCUGUUGUUAGGGAAGAAUGAUUGUGUAGUAACUAUACACAGUAGAGACGGUACCUAACCAGAAAGCCACGGCUAACUACGUG
rnacentral:rRNA from 1 species